UCUAGAACUCGAGAUAUGGGCUGAAUACUAAACAGUGUCUGGAUUGCAGGAUAGAUUCUGACUUCUCCGUUGUUGCUACAAUUGGAACUUGAAAACGGUCCUUUUGAAUCUUGGACUCUUCAUGAAAGUUUUAGGCCUAUUUCUUAGCUUUCCAUA
rfam:Populus trichocarpa scaffold_1_contig_184, whole genome shotgun sequence.